CAUGCAAGUCGAACGGUAACGCGGGGGCAACCCUGGCGACGAGUGGCGAACGGGUGAGUAAUACAUCGGAACGUGCCCAGUAGUGGGGGAUAGCUCGGCGAAAGCCGGAUUAAUACCGCAUACGACCUACGGGUGAAAGCGGGGGAUCGCAAGACCUCGCGCUAUUGGAGCGGCCGAUGGCAGAUUAGCUUGUUGGUGGGGUAAAAGCCUACCAAGGCGACGAUCUGUAGCUGGUCUGAGAGGACGACCAGCCACACUGGGACUGAGACACGGCCCAGACUCCUACGGGAGGCAGCAGUGGGGAAUUUUGGACAAUGGGCGCAAGCCUGAUCCAGCAAUGCCGCGUGUGUGAUGAAGGCCUUCGGGUUGUAAAGCACUUUUGGUGGGAACGAAACGGUCCGGGCUAAUACCCUGGACUAAUGACGGUACCCGCAGAAUAAGCACCGGCUAACUACGUGCCAGCAGCCGCGGUAAUACAGAGGGUGCGAGCGUUAAUCGGAAUUACUGGGCGUAAAGCGCGCGUAGGCGGCUUUGCAAGUCGGGUGUGAAAUCCCCAGGCUUAACCUGGGAACUGCAUUCGAGACUGCAUUGCUAGAGUAUGGGAGAGGGAAGUGGAAUUUCCGGUGUAGCGGUGAAAUGCGUAGAUAUCGGAAGGAACAUCAGUGGCGAAAGCGACU
rnacentral:rRNA from 1 species